CAUGCAACACAAGUUCCUGGUUCAAAUAAGGCAAACUCAGAUUUCCUUAGAGUUCUGCUUAUGAGUCGUUGAUGGAAGCCCUGGGUUUAGUGAACUGCAGGGUGAGAGAUUGGAGAGAAGAUUGAAGUUUCAAUGCCUUGCAAGCGAGAAAGAAAAAUGGCCGGAGAAGACAGGCGACAGACUAACGGGAAGAGAGAGAAGGAAAA
rnacentral:misc_RNA from 1 species